rnacentral:sRNA from 1 species
UGAUGCCAGGGGCAAAAGGUCUAAACUCACAUGAGCUUGCUCAUAGGUGGGUGAAAGACCUUGAGAUCCGCCCUGAUAUGAGCAUAAAAGUGGGAUGAUAAUCCCACGAUAUGCGAAUAUUGGGGAGAAUUGUGGGAGUGCGUAGCACGGAAUAAUUCGUAGGUAUCA